rnacentral:rRNA from 1 species
AACGAACGCUGGCGGCAGGCUUAACACAUGCAAGUCGAGCGCCCCGCAAGGGGAGCGGCAGACGGGUGAGUAACGCGUGGGAAUCUACCCAUCUCUACGGAAUAACGCAUGGAAACGUGUGCUAAUACCGUAUACGUCCUUCGGGAGAAAGAUUUAUCAGAGAUGGAUGAGCCCGCGUUGGAUUAGCUAGUUGGUGGGGUAAAGGCCUACCAAGGCGACGAUCCAUAGCUGGUCUGAGGGGAUGAUCAGCCACACUGGGACUGAGACGCGGCCCAGACUCCUACGGGAGGCAGCAGUGGGGAAUAUUGGACAAUGGGCGCAAGCCUGAUCCAGCCAUGCCGCGUGAGUGAUGAAGGCCCUAGGGUUGUAAAGCUCUUUCACCGGUGAAGAUAAUGACGGUAACCGGAGAAGAAGCCCCGGCUAACUUCGUGCCAGCCGCCGCGGUAACAC